GGGAAGUAAUUUAUCCUUGGUAAUGUUUCUUCGUUGUCUUUAAAUUGUGCUUAAUUUUACAAGAUCUUUUUUUUUUUUUUUUUAAGUUUUCAAGCAGAUUAUUCUCAGUGCACAGAAGAGGAUUUUACAGGAUAUGGUACAACUAUAGGCAAAGAUAAGAUUAGAGAUGAUCAGGUGUCAAUCAGCUGUACUCUCAGACCUGUAUCCUGGAAGCUGUCCUAUUAUAGUAUUUCUACAUGGUUCAAACAGCAAAGCAACAGGAGUCAUAACUCUGAAAUGGACAUGCUUUAUCCAGACUUGCCAUGGACUUUGAACAAGGAGACAACAAUCUAGCAAGAAGUGAUACUAGUUUUAGAAUUGAGAGGUAAUGCCCAUUAGUCAAAGCAGUCACAUGGUCAAGCGCAUCAUUAAUAGGUCUGGGAAAUAUUAUUGUAUCUACAUUUGGAUUUGGAUGGAAGUCAGCUUUGCUAAGGCACAUCGAGACUUUUGUAGGUAG
rnacentral:lncRNA from 1 species